rnacentral:rRNA from 2 species
UGCAAGUCGAACGAUGAAGCCCUUCGGGGUGGAUUAGUGGCGAACGGGUGAGUAACACGUGGGCAAUCUGCCCUUCACUCUGGGACAAGCCCUGGAAACGGGGUCUAAUACCGGAUAACACUCCUGCCUGCAUGGGCGGGGGUUAAAAGCUCCGGCGGUGAAGGAUGAGCCCGCGGCCUAUCAGCUUGUUGGUGGGGUAAUGGCCUACCAAGGCGACGACGGGUAGCCGGCCUGAGAGGGCGACCGGCCACACUGGGACUGAGACACGGCCCAGACUCCUACGGGAGGCAGCAGUGGGGAAUAUUGCACAAUGGGCGAAAGCCUGAUGCAGCGACGCCGCGUGAGGGAUGACGGCCUUCGGGUUGUAAACCUCUUUCAGCAGGGAAGAAGCGAAAGUGACGGUACCUGCAGAAGAAGCGCCGGCUAACUACGUGCCAGCAGCCGCGGUAAUACGUAGGGCGCAAGCGUUGUCCGGAAUUAUUGGGCGUAAAGAGCUCGUAGGCGGCUUGUCACGUCGGAUGUGAAAGCCCGGGGCUUAACCCCGGGUCUGCAUUCGAUACGGGCAGGCUAGAGUGUGGUAGGGGAGAUCGGAAUUCCUGGUGUAGCGGUGAAAUGCGCAGAUAUCAGGAGGAACACCGGUGGCGAAGGCGGAUCUCUGGGCCAUUACUGACGCUGAGGAGCGAAAGCGUGGGGAGCGAACAGGAUUAGAUACCCUGGUAGUCCACGCCGUAAACGUUGGGAACUAGGUGUUGGCGACAUUCCACGUCGUCGGUGCCGCAGCUAACGCAU